GAUGAACGCUGGCGGCGUGCCUAAUACAUGCAAGUCGAGCGAACGGACUAGAAGCUUGCUUCUCUGAUGUUAGCGGCGGACGUGUGAGUAACACGUGGAUAACCUACCUAUAAGACUGGGAUAACUUCGGGAAACCGGCGCUAAUACCGGAUAAUAUUUUGCACCGCAUGGUUCAACAGUGAAAGACGGUCUUGCUGUCACUUCUAGAUGGAUCCGCGCUGCAUUAGCUAGUUGGUAAGGUAACGGCUUACCAAGGCAACGAUGCAUAGCCGAGCUGAGAGGGUGAUCGGCCACACUGGAACUGAGACACGGUCCAGACUCCUAAGGGAGGCAGCAGUAGGGAAUCUUCCGCAAUGGGCGAAAGCCUGACGGAGCAAGGCCGCGUGAGUGAUGAAGGUCUUCGGAUCGUAAAACUCGGUUAUUAGGGAAGAACAUAUGUGUAAGUAACUGUGCACAUCGUGACGGUACUUAAUCAGAAAGCCACGGCUAACUACGUG
rnacentral:rRNA from 1 species